GGAACAGUUAUAGUAAAACAGUACAAAACCAUAGCGUUACUGAUAAAAAUAGUACAUAAGUAAACUAUGACUGUAAAAAUUGUUCAGUUGUGUGUUAUGUAGUUAAUGACAAUUAUUAUGUUUAAUGUUAAUUAGGUAAACCCUAAUUACUAAAUUAGAACCCUAAUUGCUAAGUUGUAAACCCUAAUUAUUAAUUUAGCAAGGAUAAUGGUGAUUAGUAUAAAGCCUAUUUUAUAAAUCCUAAGUAAUUAGGAGACCUAAUUUAAUUAGGGAACCCUAAUUCACAUUUUUAGAAACUAAGAUUAUCAAGUUAGCCCUAAUUGCAUAAUCCUAGAUAAUGAACUUAUGGAACCUUAGGGUUAAACCUAAAGGGUCAAACCCUAAGGGUUAGAAUAGAUUGCCCACUUUGUCACUAAAAGUAAAAACCAAAUGACCAAAUUGCCCUUUGUAUUAUUUUAAUAGAUAACUUGUAUAGGUUGCCAUAACUUUAGUUGGUGACCAACCCAACCUAUCCAUGUGCCUAUAAACCAUACAAAUCAGUCAUUUUCACAUCCAAGUGCAUUACAUCUAUGUCAUUGUAAAAUCUCAAAUUUUAUGAAUAAAGAUUUAAUUUUCUCGAAAUAUUUUUUUUCAAAAUUAUAGUGUGGAUUUGAGAUAAUGUUAUAGUUGUGGGUAAUAUUUAUAAAUUUUGAAAAGUAUGAAAGUUGUUGUAUAAUAUUCGAUUGGUCAAGGAAUAUUCUUUUUGUCGGGGAAUAUCCGUAUGACGGUACAAUCAUUGGUGGACCCCACAACGGAAUUAUUUUUGGAUUGAGAAAACGACAAAAAUAUUUUUAUGAAAAUAACGACGGAAGUUUUACCGUUAAAACUGUUGAACUACUUGGUAGUAAAAGUACAAUAACACGCGUGGUCGCAUAGUAGCACACGAUAUUGAUUAUUGAUGCUUACGUGAGAAGUCACUCAGUUUUGCUCAAUUAUUGCUACAAUAAUUGUUGCAUAGUAUCUCACGUUAUUUGAUUCAAUUAUUGUCAAUAGUUUAUAUAUUAUUAAAUCAAUAAUUGAGAUGACAAAGUUAUUAAUAUUAUUAUUUUCAAUAUUAAAGAUGUCUAGAAGUUUUGUCAAGGAGAGGUUUGGUCACCUAAUUGCGCGCCAAUAGGGAGAAAUCCUUAUUGGAAAGCCCCAUCUUUCCUGGGAACGACCUGGUAGAUUAAUAUUGUGAAUUAUAAUAAAGGUGAUAAAUAUUUUUUUAUUAUUAUUAUAAAUGUAAUAAAACAGAAAACUAUUUAUAUAAAACAGAAUACUUUUUGUAAAGCUUUGUUUUAUUUGAUUAUAAAUAGAAUAUAUUAUAUUUUAUUAUGCAUAGUGUUUGCAUAGUGCCUGCAUAGUGUUUGCAUAGUAAAAACUUUUUAUACAAAACAGAAUACUUUUUAUAAAGUUUUGUUUUAUUUGAAUAUAAAUAGAAUAUAUUAUAUUUUAUUCCAUAGUACAGCAUAGUAUCCUUUCCAUUCUCCUAUAAAUAGGAUGCUUAGUUAGAAUUGAAAAUCACACCAGAAAUUCAGAGAAUUCUUCUUCUAUAAUCUUGAGCGUAUUUCUUUAGAGUUUAAGAAAGCUUUGAGCGUAGAAAAUAGUACAAGUUUUCUUCAAGUAUAUCAUCG
rnacentral:lncRNA from 1 species